rnacentral:rRNA from 1 species
GACGAACGCUGGCGGCGUGCUUAACACAUGCAAGUCGAACGGAAAGGCCCUGCUUUUGUGGGGUGCUCGAGUGGCGAACGGGUGAGUAACACGUGAGUAACCUGCCCUUGACUUUGGGAUAACUUCAGGAAACUGGGGCUAAUACCGGAUAGGAGCUCCUGCUGCAUGGUGGGGGUUGGAAAGUUUCGGCGGUUGGGGAUGGACUCGCGGCUUAUCAGCUUGUUGGUGGGGUAGUGGCUUACCAAGGCUUUGACGGGUAGCCGGCCUGAGAGGGUGACCGGCCACAUUGGGACUGAGAUACGGCCCAGACUCCUACGGGAGGCAGCAGUGGGGAAUAUUGCACAAUGGGCGGAAGCCUGAUGAGGCAACGCCGCGUGCGGGAUGACGGCCUUCGGGUUGUAAACCGCUUUCGCCUGUGACGAAGCGUGAGUGACGGUAAUGGGUAAAGAAGCACCGGCUAACUACGUG